CAGCAGCCGCGGUAAAACGUAGGUGGCAAGCGUUGUCCGGAAUUAUUGGGCGUAAAGUGCUCGCAGGCGGUUUCUUAAGUCUGAUGUGAAAGCCCCCGGCUCAACUGGGGAGGGUCAUUGGAAACUGGGAAACUUGAGUGCAGAAGAGGAGAGUGGAAUUCCACGUGUAGCGGUGAAAUGCGUAGAGAUGUGGAGGAACACCAGUGGCGAAGGCGACUCUCUGGUCUGUAACUGACGCUGAGGAGCGAAAGCGUGGGGAGCGAACAGGAUUAGAUACCCCGGUAGUCCCUGUCUCUUAUAC
rnacentral:rRNA from 1 species